AUUGAACGCUGGCGGCAGGCCUAACACAUGCAAGUCGAACGAGUGGCGGACGGGUGAGUAAUGUCUGGGAAACUGCCUGAUGGAGGGGGAUAACUAAUGGAAACGGUAGCUAAUACCGCAUACCCUAGGAGGUGCCCAGAUGGGAUUAGCUAGUAGGUGGGGGAAGGGCUCACCUAGGCGACGCUCCCGAGCUGGUCUGAGAGGAUGACCAGCCACACGGGAACGGAGACACGGUCCAGACUCAUACGGUAGGCAGCAGUGGGGAAUAUGGCACAAUGGGCGCAAGCCUGAUGCAGCCAUGCCGCGUGUAUGAAGAAGGCCUUCGGGUGGUAAAGUACUUUCAGCGGGGAGGCGUUACCCGCAGAAGAGGCACCGGCUAACUCCGUGCCAGCAGCCGCGGUAAUUC
rnacentral:rRNA from 1 species